UACGUAUGGUGCGAGCGUUGUCCGGAUUUACUGGGCGUGAAGGGGGCGCAGGCGGCGCGCCAAGCCCGAUGUGAAAGCCCGGGGCUCAACCCCGGGACUGCAUUGGGAACUGGCGUGCUGGAGUGCCGGAGGGGCAGGCGGAAUUCCUGGUGUAGCGGUGAAAUGCGUAGAUAUCAGGAGGAACACCGGUGGCGAAGGCGGCCUGCUGGACGGAUACUGACGCUGAGGCCCGAAAGCGUGGGGAGCGAACUGG
rnacentral:rRNA from 1 species